rnacentral:rRNA from 1 species
AAUGAACGUUGGCGGCGUGGAUUAGGCAUGCAAGUCGCGCGUGUACCAGCAAUGGGAAAGCGGCGAAAGGGACAGUAAUGUGUAGAUACCUGCCCUCGGGACCGGGAUAGCUGCGGGAAACUGCAGGUAAUACCGGAUGACGUCUCCGGACCAAAGGUGUGAUUCCGCCGGAGGAUGGGUCUACAUCCUAUUAGCUAGUUGGUGAGGUAAUGGAUCACCAAGGCCACGGUGGGUAGCAGGUGUGAGAGCACGACCUGCGUCAUUGGGACUGAGACACUGCCCAGACACCUACGGGUGGCUGCAGUCGAGAAUCUUCGGCAAUGGGCGAAAGCCUGACCGAGCGACGCCGCGUGCGGGAUGAAGGCCUUCGGGUUGUAAACCGCUGUCAGUGGGGAGGAAGGCUCCGUGCAGAGCGGGGUUUGACCUAUCCGCAGAGGAAGCAAGGGCUAAGUUCGUGCCAGCAGCCGCGGUAACAC